CUUGAUUUCUUUUUGACCCUCUACUGCCACUGCUGAUCUCUGGCCAUCCUCUUCCUGUCUCCUUGUCCAGCUGGGCCAGAUAAACAGACUUCUGGCAUUUUCAUGCAUGAUUCAUAACUUUAUGUAAAUGCUCUGGCAAGCUGGAUGAAUGGACAUGAUCCAAUAAAGAUAUUGAGCCUGAGAAUAAAACGCAGUAAAAGAGUGUUGAGAGCACAGAACUCCUCUGAAGUGGAAGGAUCCUUCUCACAGACACAGCAGUAAAGAAGACAGACGUGGUCUCUGCCCUCUUGAGUAUGUACCCAACAGAAAUGAGUGCGAACAUCUACCAAAAGACAUGUGUAAGAAUACUCAUGGCAGCUUAUGCAUAAUAGAAGAAAAACUGGAAGGAACCCAAAUGCUCUUUCAGGAGAAAGGAUAAAUAAAAGCAAU